rnacentral:lncRNA from 1 species
AUGGACCCUUACUUUGCACACCCCCCCAUUACUUUGCACACACCCCUGCUUUGCACACACACCCCACUUUGCACACCCCCUUCUUUGCACACCCCCCUUUGCUUUGCAUCCCCUCCAACCCAAUGCAUCCCAAUGAGAUCCCAUUGCAAUGCACCCCCACCUUCCUCCAGUGCUCUGCAUUGCUGCUGGCUCAGCACGGUCCUGCUGCGCUGUUUGCUGCGGCCUGGGGGGGUCCCUGGGGGGGUCCGGGGGUCUGCAACUGCAAUGGGGGAGGGGGGAGAUGGGGGGGUGGAAAGGGAGAAGGUGCAUGGAGACGUGUGUGUGUGUGUCUGCAGGUGUGCAUGCAUCGGUGUGCAUGCAGGUGUGUGUAUACAGGUGUGUGUGUGUGCAGGUGUGUGUGCAGGUGUGUGCAUGCAGGUGUGUGUAUGCAGGUGUGUGUGUGCAUGCAUGUGUGUGCAUCCUUGUGUGUAUGUGUCUGCAGGUGUGCAUGCAUCUGCAUGCAUGCAGGUGUGUGUGCAUCCAAAUGAGUGCAUGCGUGUGUGCAUGUGUGCAUGCAAAUGUGCGCAUCGUUGUGUGUAUGUGUCUGCAGGUGUGCAUGCAUCUGUGUGCAUGCAGGUGUGUGCAUCCUUGUGCGUAUGUGUCUGCAGGUGUGCAUGCAGGUGUGUGUGCAUACAAAUGUGUGCAUGCACGUGUGCAUGUGUGCAUGCAUGUGUGUGCAUCUGUGUGUGUGUGCAUGCAUGUGUGCAUGCACCUGUGUGCAUGCAGGUGUGUGUGCAUCCAAAUGAGUGCAUGCAUGUGUGCUUGUGUGCAUGCGUGCAUGAGUGUGUCUGCAUGUCUGCAGGUGUGCUUGCAUCCAUGUGUGUGCAUGCAUGUGUCUGCAUAUCUGCAUGUGUGCAGGCGUGUGUGCACCACUGUGUGUGCAUGUGUGUGUUUGUGUCUGCAGGUGUGCAUGCAUUCCUGUGUUUGCAUGCAUGCAGGUGUGUGUGCGUCCAAAUGAGAGUGUGCACGUGUGCAUGUGUGUGUGUGUGUCUGCAGGUGUGCAUGCGUCCAUGUGUGUGCAUGUCUGCAGGUGUGUGUGCACGUGUGUGUGUGUGUGUCUGCAGGUGUGCAUGCGUCCAUGUGUGUGCAUGCAUGUCUGCAGGUGUGCGUGCAUGUGUGUGUGUGUCUGCAGGUAUGCAUGCAGGUGUUUGCAUGUGUGCAGGUGUACAUGCAUCCACGUGUGCAUUUGUGCAUGUGUGUGUGCAUGCGUGUGCCUGCAAGUCUGCAGGUGUGUGUGCAUCCUUGUGUGUGCUUGUGUGCAUGUGUGCAUGCAUCCACGCGUGUGCAUGCCUGCAGGUGUGUGUGCAUCCAAAUGAGUGCAUGCAUGUGUGCUUGUGUACAGGUGUGCAUGCAUGUGUCUGCAUGUCUGCAGGCGUGUGCAUCCUUAUAUGUGCAUGCACGUAUGUGUGUGUGCACCCAUGUGUGUGUGCAUGUCUGCAGGUGUGCAUUCAUGCAUGUGUGUGUGUGUGCAUGCAUCUGCAUGUCUGCAGGUGUGUGUGCAUCCUUGUGUGUGCUUGUGUGCAUGCAUGCAUGCAUCCAUGUGUGUGUGUCUGCAGUUGUGCAUGCAUCCUUGUGUCUGCAUAUGUGCAGGUGUGCAUGCAUCCAUGCAUGUGUGUGCACGUGUGCAUCUAUGUGUGUAUGUGUGUCUGCAGGUGUGCAUGCAUGCAUCUGCAUUUGUGCGUGUGUGCAUGCAUCCGUGUGUGUGUGCAUGUCUGCAGGCGUGUGUGCAUCCUCGUGUGUGCAUGUGUGCAUGCAUCCUUGUGUGUGUGUCUGCAGGUGUGCAUGCAUGUGUGUGCAUGUGUGUGUGUGCAUGCAUGUGUGUGCACGUUUGCAGGUGUGCAUGCACCCCGUUGUGUAUAUGUGCACGCCCGCAGUGUCCUUGCACACCCAGUUGUGCACCUACCCGCGCUCUCCCCCCCCUGCAGCGCAUUGUGUUGCAUUGAUCCCUGCAGCCCCCGCAGCACCCGAUUGAUGGACGAGACCUGGGGGCAAAAUGGGGCUUGA